GAUGAACGCUAGCUACAGGCUUAACACAUGCAAGUCGAGGGGAAACGACAUCGAAAGCUUGCUUUUGAUGGGCGUCGACCGGCGCACGGGUGAGUAACGCGUAUCCAACCUGCCCAUCACUUGGGAAUAACCUUGCGAAAGUAAGACUAAUACCCAAUGAUAUCCCACGAAGGCAUCGGAAUGGGAUUAAAGAUUUAUCGGUGAUGGAUGGGGAUGCGUCUGAUUAGCUUGUUGGCGGGGUAACGGCCCACCAAGGCAACGAUCAGUAGGGGUUCUGAGAGGAGGGUCCCCCACAUUGGAACUGAGACACGGUCCAAACUCCUACGGGAGGCAGCAGUGAGGAAUAUUGGUCAAUGGGCGAGAGCCUGAACCAGCCAAGUAGCGUGCAGGAAGACGGCCCUAUGGGUUGUAAACUGCUUUUAUAAGGGAAUAAAGUGGGUCACGUGUGACUUUUUGCAUGUACCUUAUGAAUAAGGACCGGCUAAUUCCGUG
rnacentral:rRNA from 1 species